rnacentral:rRNA from 1 species
AUAAUACUCCAUAGAUUAGAGACACUGGAAUGUUCUUUAGUCGAAAGUUCUGGCGCCUUAGGAUGGAUCUGCGGUCGAUUAGGUUGUUGUUGGGGUAACGGCCCAACAAGCCUGUAAUCGAUACGGGUUGUGGGAGCAAGAGCCCGGAGAUGGAAUCUGAGACACGAUUCCAGGCCCUACGGGGCGCAGCAGGCGCGAAAACUUUACAAUGCAGGAAACUGUGAUAAGGGAACUCCGAGUGCCCGUAUACGCGGGCUGUCCGGGUGUUUAAAAAUCAUCUGAAGAAAGGGCCGGGCAAGACCGGUGCCAGCCGCCGCGGUAAUACCGGCGGCUCGAGUGGUGGCCACUAUUAUUGGGCUUAAAGCGUCCGUAGCUGGACCGAUAAGUCUCUUGGGAAAUCCGCCGGCUCAACCGGCGGGCGUCUAAGGGAUACUGUUAGUCUAGGGACCGGGAGAGGUGAGAGGUACUCCGGGGGUAGGAGUGAAAUCCUGUAAUCCCCGGGGGACCACCGAUGGCGAAGGCAUCUCACCAAAACGGCUCCGACAGUGAGGGACGAAAGCUGGGGGAGCGAACCGGAUUAAAUACCCGGGUAGUCCCAGCCGUAAACUAUGCGCGUUAGGUGU